AAAACAAGAAAAUCCAUCAGGUUGUUCCAACGUGUGAGAGAGAGAGAGAGAGAGAGAGAGAGUGAGUGAAAGAGCAGCGUGGAGAAGAGGAAGAAGAAGGAGAAAAGAAGAAGAAAAUUAGAGUUAGGUUGAUUGAAGCUUAAUUAGGUUCGGAGACGACAACGAGUACCGCAGCUCCACGUAGGGAGUGACUGCGUUGGUUUUCUUUUUGUUGGAGACCGAGUUUUGCAGGUAUAGGUCGGUGUCCACUACAGGUCGCGUUUUGCAUUUUGUGACUCGCUCGAGAAGUGCGUAGUUGAGGCCUGUGGGAGUCUUUGUCUCCUGGCCCGUAGAUGAGUUUGCUUAGUUUAGUUUUGGAUAAUAGUUGGUUAUGUAAAGUUUAUUUCUUGACAGACUUCCGCUGUAGUUUGUAAAUGAAAAAUAUUUUUUUUUUGAUGUAAAUAAAAUGUGGCUGUUGAACUGUA